AUCUUUGAACGCAUCUUGCGCCCCUUGGUAUUCCGAGGGGCAUGCCUGUUUGAGUGUCGUGAACUCUCUCUCAACCCCUUCUCGUCUGUGACGGGGGACGGGGUUGGAUCUGGAUGUCUGCGGCGAGGUGUUCUCGCCGCUCGUCUUGAAAUGCAUUAGCUGGUC
rnacentral:rRNA from 1 species